rnacentral:lncRNA from 1 species
GGCAGGGGCCACGGUGUGGGGCAGAGCCUGCUGCAGUGUUCUGUCCAAAAGGUGACUUUUUGUGACAGGGAGGCCGGGCGGGCACAGCGAAGAACUCCAGGAAUUCGAGAACCCUAUGUUUUGGAUAGCCGUGCACUCCCCCCAGGACCAGGCAUCAGCUCUGACUCCCCCCACCCCGGCCCCCGCCAAUGGGGCCCCCCCCCCCACCCCGGCCCCCGCCAAUGGGGACCCCUGUUUGGGGGCCAAGAAGGGCCAUUUGGGGAGGUGGGGUCUUCUCUGCGUCCUCUGCUCUCUGGGAAGGAUGGGGUGCACGCUGCGACUGUCUCAUGGACCCCUCCAAACGCCUGGGAAAUGGGCGCAGUGUGGCCACUAUUCCACAAGCCCCAAACCCAGGAGAGGCAGGGGAGAGAGCAGGCAGAGGUGGGAGAGGAGCGGGUGAGGAGCCAGGCUUGGGGAAGGUAAGUUAGAGACUGGAAAGGACGCUGGGGUGGGAGCUGGGGCGGCUGGUUUCCCUUGCGUGGAGCCCCGACUUUCCCACCAAGGCACUGGCUCUUACACAUCAACACUCGCCAGAGACGCGGGAAAUAUUUUCUCUCUGCUGACACUUUUGGCAAAAUACAAAUCCUCCAGCUUUUUUCCGUGCAAAAAACAUGUCCAUCAAAACCGUCCCCGCAGUGCCUGCAGGAGAGAGAGGCCGCUGGAUUUGGUCCGGGGACUGCGGAAAGGGCUCAGGGAGAGAAAUAUGCAGCGGGCCUCAUCAUCUCUCUCUGCAGCCAGAGGGCGACAUAAAAGCAGCGAGAAUAGAAGUCAAAUAGUCCCUCCGCCCCCGCCCCCCUCCCCCAUUUGCUGAGCGCUUGGUCAGGGCUGAAAGCUCCACUAUCUGUA